rnacentral:lncRNA from 1 species
AGAGUAAAUGGAGCUCUGUCAAAUAUGCCCGAAUUUUCAAAAACGUUUAAUUGUCCGUUGAAUAGCAAAAUGAAUCCAAAAAAAAAGUGUGAUUUGUGGUGAUUUGAUGUCUAUCAUGUACGUACGUACUCUAUUUUUUAUUCCUGUUGAAAGGAUACUAAUGUGUUCAAUUUUUAGAUCAGUGAUUCCCCAUAUGCAUUUAUACUUGAUAGCUUUAUCAGUUCCAAAAUGUUCUUCCUAUAUAUAGACCUCCCAGAGGUACAGUAAAGGUUAUCUCUUUUCGGUCCAGUGUUACUACAGGAGGAAACUUAAACUAAAUUUACUUCAGACUGGAUUGCUCUAUGAGUUCUAAACUGUUUUCCCUUGAGGUACAGUAAGGGUCAUCUCUUAUUGUGGUACAAUCAUACUGCCGGAGGAAACCUAAACUAAACUUGCGUUAUUUAUACUGGUCAGCUCUAUAUCGGUGCUAAACUGUUAUCCCUUGAGUUGAGGUACAGUAAGGGUUAUCUGCAUCUCCUAUUAGUACAAUGUUACUACAGGAGGAAAGUUUAACCCAAACUAAACUCACUUUAUUUAUACUGGAUUGCCUCAUUGGUUCUAUUAAACUGUGCUUCCUUGAGGUACAAUAAGGAUCAUCUCUUAUUGAUCCAGUGUUUAAUAUAUACUCAUAGGCGUACCGGGUUGUUUAAAAAAAAAAUUGGAAAAAUUAUGUCAAUUUUUUCGAAAAUUUAGAAAAUUUUGUGGCAAAUGUAGAAAAUUUAGUUAAAUUAUGUGAAGCUCCGAAAAAUUUUGGUAUGUCCGGAAAAUUUUUUUGACCCCUUAAAUGGUACACUGACCUAAAUUUUUUUGGCGACGGGGGGGGGGGAGGUCGCCAAAAUAAAUUUUCCGGAAAAAAAUUUUUGGUACUAGUCGGGCACAAUCACGAAAAGUCGGGCAAUUUUACGAAAAGUCGGGCAAUUUUCUUUCCGCCCCCCUAAUUUUUUCUUUCCGGUACGCCCAUGUAUAUACUACAGGAGGAAACUUGAAUCAAACUAACUUUAUUUAUACUGGAUAUACUAGCUCAAUCAGUUCUAAACUGUUCUCACUUUCGAGGUCCAAUAAGAGCAUACUCUACAGUGGUUCAGUCUUACUGCUUUGAGGUCAACUACUUUGACCACAACGCACAAAUCGUUUCCAGGUCGAGGAAGACCCCAUACAGCCAUAUUUGUCACACAUACACAUUAGUCAAGAAAAACCUGUCCAAUAAUUUCUCGUAUUCACAUUGUCAAGCAAACGAAAGGUUUUAAUUAACAUGCUUGCAUGUCACUAUAGACUAGAGGUGUGCAAAUCUGAUCCGAAACCGAUCCGAAUCCGAUCCGAUCGGAUUCGUUCGGAUUUCGGAACCAAAAUAUUCAUUUCGGAUCGGAUUGAUAAAGUUGUUUCGUAGUCGGAUCGGAUUUCGAUAUUCGAUAUAAAAUGAAUUAAUUAUCCACGCAUUAUCGCAAGAAUUAAUUAUCCACGCAUUUAUCAAAGUAUUAUCGCGGUUGUCGCUGCAUUAUUCGUUUAUUAAUACUUCAAUUGGACGUCACUUUGUCAGCUUCUUAACAUGUAUAUCUUGCUUUUAUAUUUACUUAGUUAAAUAUUUCAACUUGAAAGAGAAAUUUAUUUUAUUAAAGAAUUCUUCGGAUCGGAUCGGAAUUGUUUAUCAAAACUCGGAUCGGAUUCGGAUUAGACAAUUUCGAAUCGGGUCGGAUUUUAAACAUUAGGCAAUUGUCAGAUUAUAAACGUCCAAUCCGAUCCGAUGCACACCUCUACUAUAGACAUUGCAUGUUUAUUGUAUCAUCUAUUUUCGUUCAUGUUUUUCUAGGGUAAAUUUAUCGGGAGCUCUGUCAACUAUGACCGAAUUUUCAAAAACGUUUAACUGUCCGUUGAAUAGCAAAAUGAUCCCAAAAUAAGAUGUGAUGUGUGGUGAUUUGAGAGAGAGAGAGAGAGACGGAUUUAUUAACUUAAGUGCCUGUUUUGUAUAUCGAGUUCUUUAUUUAAUAUUAAAUUGUCAACUAAAAU